GUGCAGAGGUGUGGUGACUAGAGAUUCAGCCUCUCCUCACCCCAACUUGCAAAUUAAAAAAAAUGUCAAAGGAGUUAAACAAAAUCAAACUUUAGUUCAAUUUUUUUAAAAGUUAUAAUACAGCAAUUUUAAUGUGGAAGAAGAUAACUAUAAAACUGCAGAGAGCACAGUGAGGAUAAUUCCAUACUGCCUCUUAAGUUGCUUGUUUCCCAUUUUGUCCCUGGCUGUUUCUUAACCAAACUCAGAAAUUCCAGCCAGUGUUUGUAGGUUGGCGAUGGGAUUGAGCUAGAGAUUUGCUGAGAUUAUAGCUCUGCAGGACCUGAUUGAUCAUUGUCCUUCCUAUUUAUUCAGGGAAGAAAAAUCUCACUAGACAGCUUUAUCAGUGCCUGCCUUUACAUUUAGGGAUGGUUCCCUCAUCAUUUGUAUACAUAUCCGUGCUGGCAAACUUAUUUCGCGCGCGCCACAGGCGGCACGCAGAGCCGUCUCUGUUGGCACGCGCUCCAUUGCUGGGCCGAGCUGCUACCACCUCCUCUCCGCGCAUGCGCAGUCUGGAAAUAGGCGAGAGGCUAGAAAAGGAGGAACUUUUGGCGGGAGCAGCAUUUGAUGCAGGCAGCGAGCACGAGCCGACAGUAGUGAGUUUCAGCGGCCGGCCACGCAGGGGAGGAGGACGAGGGGCGACGGUGGUGGUGAAAGGCGCGGACGGGGUGUGACUACCUAUUUAAGCUACCUUGCCUCGGCCUCGUGGGGCGAGGGCGGCGGCGGCGAAAGGCGCGGGGGGCGGCCUACCUGCUUAAGUUGCCUUGCGCCUCGGCCUCGUGGGGCAAUGGCGACGGCGGUCCGGGCAGGCUCUGGUAAGCCAGGCAAGGCCGAGCAGCCAGCCAGCCAGCGGGAGCAGGGUUGGAUGGAGGGAUCGGGAUCUGGCCCCUUUUUCCUCGUCCAGGGGCCGGGGAGAAGUUGCCUGCCCAGCCUCGUGCGCCUUACCAUCGAAUGGCUGGGAGAAGCGACGGGAGGAAAAAAAAGGCGACUCCCCCUCGGAAACGAUCGUAUGUGGGCCACAUGCCUAGAAGCCUUGAUCUGCUGAGGAGCAAUUUCCUGCGCUUGCACUGGGGUGGAGAGGAGGCCUUCUCGGCUCUUGGCAAAAGCCGGGGUGGUGAUGGUGGUGGGGUCGUCGCGGGAGGCGACAUGGAAACCCAUAUUGCUCAAGUUUUGUCUGCCAGGCAGGAGAGAGAGAGAGAGAGAGAGAGCUCCCUCCAUGCUUGCCUUAGAGAAAAAUGGGAGGGGAGCGCAGGGUUUCUGGGAAGUCCCCUCCAGGUUCUCGCAAAGGGAAAGAAUUAGGCCUCCUUUGCAGGUUGCACGGCGGUUGGGGGAAAAACAAAGCCGCGGACCUGAAGGCUUGACCGUCCACCACCACCACCACCAUCCCCUUCCCCCGAAAACUCUCCCUGCGCCGUUGCCCUUUCAUCUGCCGCCGCCGUUCCUGAUUGCAGGAUUUUUGUCUUCGCCGGGUGGGUCUGACGACGAGAAAGGCCCUAUCCUGGGUGAUAGUCAGAAGCGUGUGCAUUCCUGGAGGUGGGAGCAGCAUUUGCUGCAGACAGUGAGCGAGCAAGCACAAGCCGGAGCAGAGAGAGUGAGCAAGAGCCAACAGUGGUUAUUCUUUAUUAGUUCAAUGCUGUGAUAAAAAGAAUCAUUGAAUCAUCGAAUUAGAAGGCAUAACCAUACCAUCCUCGAUAAAUGAUCGUUCAGCCUCCAUUUUAAAAUCUCCAAUGAAGGAGAGGAAACCACUCCAUUCAUACUGCCAAGAAGUUUUCCUAAUGUCUAAGUCUAAUCUUUAUCUACAUCCUUGAAGUUUCAUCCAAGUACGGUAGUUGUAACUCUUACUAUCUGGAGCAAGUGAGGACAAGUCCAAACCCUCUACAACAAGGGUGUCAAAAUGCCAGCCCUCGGGCCGGAUGCAUCAUAGUGAAACUGCGCCCACCACAUUGCCUGCAAUUGCAAAAAAAGUCACGAUACAUCACGACACGUCACGUGACGUUGCGAGUUUGAUACCCCUGUUCUACAAUAUGACAACCCUUCAGGUAUUUGAAGACAGCUACUACAUCUCCUCUCAACCGUGUCUUCUGCAAGAAGAGCAUACAUAGGUUUUUAAAUAGUGCCUCAUAGGACUUGCUUUGCUCCAAUUAAUCAAUGUCCUUUUCAAAAUGGAAGAAAAAACCCAAUUGGCAAAAUCUCCUGAAAAGCAAGCUUGGAAUCUUCCAAAAUCCCAGGCAGGGCUUCUAUCCUAGCCCUGACCUGGAAACUAAAAAAUUCUACAUCUGUUUCUUAAUUUUGCUUGGGCAGGUCCUUUUAAAAGACAUUUUGGAAGACAUUUCACUGAAACGAGAAGACACACAACAAUUUAUAUAUUUAUAAUUUAUUAAUUAUUAAUUUAUAUUUAUUAAUUAUUUAUAAUUAAUUUAUAUUUAAAUUAAUUAAACAUAACUAAAUGAAAGAUAGGGGAGUGAAGUAUGUUGCAAGUAAAAACUCCCCAAAGCUGAAUUCUGCAAGUGUUCAAGUCAUUUAUACUAUUAUUCAUUUGCAUAUUUAGUGGCUGCCUUAUUUACCAUCUCUUCAAUGAAAAAUACAUAUAAAUAAAUCAGUAGACACUUCUGCAUCACAAAAGUGCUUAGCCUUUGGGGCUGUAAGGGAGGAAUGUUUCCAUUUAUACUGAAUGAAGACCUCAAAGGCAGAAAGGACAGGUGCUCUUAAGUGCAACCCUUCCAAGGAGCAGCAGUGCUUUGACGAACCUCUGGACCGGCUUGCAUGUACUGGAGUUGUGAAUGCUUCAGCAUAUGUUGCAAUUGUGGCUUGGGCUAUUUCGAGAAAACAGUGAUAGAUGCCCUGAGAGUUGGGAAGAGUUGAGUCAUAAUCUUGAGAAAGGAGGGAGAAUAGCGCUCUGGUUUUAGAAAGCUUAACAAAAGGCCUUUCAGUGGUGCCCAGGAAGGCUCAAACCCUAAUUUCUUUGUGGGGGAGGCCCAGGAAAACAUCUAAGCAUUCUGCUCUUCAGAAUCUCAACAGGGGGAUAGUUAGGGAUGGACAAUAGAAAACAAAUAGUCCAUCACUGACCUGGAAACCCACCAGCCUUAUUUAGGUGUUUUUUGCUCAAGGGGCAAGUGUGGAGGAAGACUGAGCUAUAGUAUUAUGGAUGUCAUAGGCAUUCUGUCCCUACUGUCCUCAUGUUCGGGGCUAUCAUUUGCAGAAAGUAGCCUUUGAGCAUAGCAUUUUACAUGCACAGAAUAUGUCAGCUGGUACCAUUAAAACAAAAGACUUUGACUUGCAGUCCAUUAGGCUUGUCAGGCACAAAUAACCAGACCUACGCUGUAGAGUUCAAACUAGCUAUUUUAUUGUUUUAUGCCUGUUAUACAGGGAUCUCCCAAGAUUGGUAGCUUUCACCUAGGAAAACUAGGUAAGUUUGCACAGGUUGUGUGUCAGAUCUUGUCCUCUUGUGUUUAUGUAAUGAGUCCAGACUAAUUCCCUGCUUGAGCCCUCCUGCCGGGGAUGGUUGCUCUCUAACAAGGCUGAUAUCUCCAGAAUCUUAGAAAUUAAAGCUUAGAGGAUGAAUAGUUCAUCUUAAUCAGAUUUGAGGCCUGGAUCAUUUUGUGCAACCCACACGGACAACUGAUGUGGAAUGGUGAAAAUGUAGUUCUGUUCCAGAGUUAAGUUAGUUCAUUUACAUUUAAUGUGAAUUCUCUUCAGCUUUGGCUCACAAGUCCAUUGCAUCAAUGUAGGAACAACUUCAGUGUUGUUGGGUCUGCUGCUAUGGCAUUCAUGAUUAUUUGUGUUUGAGUGACCUGUUCUAACUUCUGUCAAGAACAUCAGAAUAGGCCCCUGGCAACAAUGUGAUAACAGCAUUAUCGUGGAAAUUGCUUUCUUUCAAUGUGGAGAGGGAUUAUUCUGGACAUGAGCAACCCAGCAUCUUUGCACUAUAAAUUGUAAAAGCAGAGGUAUGGCCAAGACUUGGGGGAGUUGUUACCCAAACAUCUAGAGUACCCCAGUAGUUUACCCUUGAUGCAGGCAUUUGAAUACACUAGUUUUCAGGCUGCUGAAUUUUAAUACCACUUGUAUGAAUGAAAGAUACAUGCACAUACAAUAUGCUAGUGAAAAAAGCACAGAAAAGGAGGAACAAGAAUUGAUGCCAUCAUAAUGUACUCCAGCUAUUUUGGCUUAGGUAGUUUAAGAUUUGGGGUAGAUCUGUAGCAUUGUAGAAUGUUCUGCCAGUAUCUCCCAUUUGGCAGAACAACUUUGCCAGCAGAAGAGAUGAUUAAAAGAUUGAAGGUGGCUGUUAGAGAAGAAUGGACGUUGUCCAACAUCUGAUCUUCAGCUCUCCCUUUUGGCACCUGUGCAGGUACAGAAAGGCAGGAUUUUGCUUAAAGAGGUUGGCCUGCAAACACUGAGGCUCAUGCUCCUUUUCUGAUCCUGAUGAGUGUCCUGCUUCAGGAUACUUCUGCAGCUCAGCUCUGCUCUGCUUUUCCAACUUGGAAUGCAGACUACCCAUCUAAACAAUGGGAGUUGCAGUACGCUGUGUAUUCAGGGCAGCAGUUUGCAAAAGGCUGACCAGUGAUGCAAAGGGGAGCAGAGAUCUGAGAGCAGAAAAGGCUCAGGAGCUCCUCCACAAAAGUUUUACCCUGGAUCCUGCUGUGGCGAGUAACAGCUCCGUGAAUCGUGGGAAAGGAGAGGCAGCAGUGCCAUUUGUGAUGGAGAUUCUUUUUUCCACAUUUCUCAUCCAAGAUCUGUCCUGAAAACAUUUUUGUGAUACCAUUUAACAUCUCUUCAAAAAGACCCCUUUCCCUGCACAUGUCUGGUGCCAGCAAAUCUGGGAAGCUCCUAAUUGCUUAGCAAGUAUGUCCCCUGUGUAUUUGUGGGUAGUCAAAAAAGUGCCUGCUUGUCUGACAGGCCAGUUGCCAAGUGUCCAAAAUGUGACUGGGGGGAGGGCAAAGCUGUUGGAAUUUUGAAUAUGGAUCAUAAGUACUUUUUUUUGGGUCAUUGGAACUUUGAAUAAGUUGCUAAGCAACCAAUUGUAAGUUAAGGAUUACUCGUCUUUCAAAAUAUAUGUCUGUGCCAUUACUGUGGAUAUUGGAAGAAUAUGAUUGUUGAGUUCUUGCUCUCCUGAUGUGUGUUUAUUUUAUAUAUAUAUAUGUAUAUGUAUAUACUAUUAUAAUAAUAUAAUAUAAUAUAUUCAUUUUUUCCAUACAUACAGUAGUAAUUUUUUAACCAAUGUGCUGUCUGAGUUUACAUGCUAAUACUUAAUUCCUAAUCCUUCCUUCUUUCUUCCAGCCAAUGGUAAAAUAAGUCCCAGGUUUGGUAAUAGUCUGUUUCUAUUUUUUCUUUCAGUCUCAGUCAAUCUGUCCAUCUCUGCUCACUCUAGUAUUUUUUUAAUUAUUUCAUCUGAUGGUAUUCCUUCAUUUUUCCAGUGUUGCGCAAAUAUAAUUC